rnacentral:rRNA from 1 species
CCCUGCCAUUUGUACACACCGCCCGUCGUUUCUUCCGACUGUUACUCAUUGUGAGUUGCAAGGAUCCUGUAAUGGGAAAAUUGCUGCGAAUGCUUUGUAAUGGAGGAAGAAAAAGUCGUAACAAGGUUACCGUA